UCCACCGAUUGACUAAGGUUUCCAGAGGAAGGCUCGUCCGCUCUGGGUUAGUCGGGUCCUAAGCUGAGGCCGACAGGCGUAGGCGAUGGAUAACAGGUUGAUAUUCCUGUACCACCUAUAAUCGUUUUAAUCGAUGGGGGGACGCAGUAGGAUAGGCGAAGCGUGCGAUUGGAUUGCACGUCUAAGCAGUAAGGCUGAGUAUUAGGCAAAUCCGGUACUCGUUAAGGCUGAGCUGUGAUGGGGAGAAGACAUUGUGUCUUCGAGUCGUUGAUUUCACACUGCCGAGAAAAGCCUCUAGAUAGAAAAUAGGUGCCCGUACCGCAAACCGACACAGGUAGUCAAGAUGAGAAUUCUAAGGUGAGCGAGCGAACUCUCGUUAAGGAACUCGGCAAAAUGACCCCGUAACUUCGGGAGAAGGGGUGCUCUUUAGGGUUAACGCCCAGAAGAGCCGCAGUGAAUAGGCCCAAGCGACUGUUUAUCAAAAACACAGGUCUCUGCUAAACCGUAAGGUGAUGUAUAGGGGCUGACGCCUGCCCGGUGCUGGAAGGUUAAGAGGAGUGGUUAGCUUCUGCGAAGCUACGAAUCGAAGCCCCAGUAAACGGCGGCCGUAACUAUAACGGUCCUAAGGUAGCGAAAUUCCUUGUCGGGUAAGUUCCGACCCGCACGAAAGGCGUAACGAUUUGGGCACUGUCUCAACGAGAGACUCGGUGAAAUCAUAGUACCUGUGAAGAUGCAGGUUACCCGCGACAGGACGGAAAGACCCCGUGGAGCUUUACUGUAGCCUGAUAUUGAAAUUCGGCACAGCUUGUACAGGAUAGGUAGGAGCCUUUGAAACGUGAGCGCUAGCUUACGUGGAGGCGCUGGUGGGAUACUACCCUAGCUGUGUUGGCUUUCUAACCCGCACCACUUAUCGUGGUGGGAGACAGUGUCAGGCGGGCAGUUU
rnacentral:rRNA from 1 species